rnacentral:rRNA from 1 species
UACGUAGGAUGCAAGCGUUGUCCGGAAUUAUUGGGCGUAAAGAGCGCGCAGGCGGUCUAUCAAGUCAGAUGUGAAAUAUCCAGGCUUAACCUGGAGGGGUCAUUUGAAACUGGUAGGCUAGAGUACAGCAGAGGAUAGUGGAAUUCCCGGUGUAGUGGUGAAAUGCGUAGAUAUCGGGAGGGACACCAGUGGCGAAGGCGACUAUCUGGGCUGAAACUGACGCUGAGGCGCGAAGGCUAGGGGAGCAAACAGG